CCUUUGUAUAUAAUGCCUUAGCUCCCAAAAAAAAAGCUCUUUGUUUUGUAUAAAAACUCAAAAUAUAUUAAAAUUCUUCAAAAUAUAUUUCUUCCCGCCAAAGACUUUUUUACAUCAGACUUCGGAAAUUCAUAUAUGUUGAUCCAACCGUUCACUUUGUUUCAAAUUUCUACCUAAGCUAGAUGCUAUACUUAACUUGUACCAAAAAAAACUUGAACCGUACAUCUAUCACCGAUUGUUCAGCAUCUUAGAAACCCUAGCAGGUGCACAAAACCCUAACUUACAAGCACCCGAAAACUAUUUUCCUUAUAUCUCUUAAACCCAAGCUCCAAAUCACACAAAACUUAUAAAGAAAGCUUUAUAACAAGGUUACACACAAUCUUAGAAAUUUUGAGCUAAAACCUCAUCAUAUUGUCUAAGAUAUAGCUCAAAUCACAAGCACAAGUAAUUCGGGCUACUUACUACCCUUAGAUAUCAAGCGGUGACUUCAACUGCCAAUAUCUCCUUCAUCAAAGCUUGAAAUUCGAUAAACAGUAUGCACAAAAUGUAGCCGAAAAAGUGCUCUCUUCAAAUCCGGUCGCCGAUCCUCGUUUGCUGUCCGUACGCGUGCGGUAUGCUCAAAAGAGUGACAGUACGUCGAAAACUUACAAUUAACUUUGAGCGCCUAUAACUUCUUCAUAUAAACCCUAAAUGACACAAAUUUUGCACCAAAACCAUAUCCAAAAACCUAAACCUUCUAUCCUAGCCUCAAAAACUCGAAUGGCCUCGAGAAACUAACCCUAAUCCCUAAUAUGGCCUCGGGCAGCCUCCUCAAAGCCCAUUGGUCAUGAUUUUUGACCAAUAGGAAUGGAGAUUUUCAUCAUUCAUCUCCAUUCAUCUAUAUUGGUGCCCUAAUUCCUCCCUUUGCUACCAAAAUCCUUCUUCAAUCCUUUUUCUUUUAAGAUUUACAUAAUGUAUGCUCUAAACACCAAAUAAAAGAACCAAAAUAAGUUUUUAAAUGUCACCAAUGUCUAACAAAGGUGACUCUAAAUAUUUAGAAGUUACUAUCAACCAAAACCAAACUUAAAAGCCACUUUCAAAAAGAAAUUAAAGUUAUACAAAUUCUAUAGUAAUCUUUUUAAACAACCU
rnacentral:lncRNA from 1 species